rnacentral:rRNA from 1 species
AUUGAACGCUGGCGGCAGGCCUAACACAUGCAAGUCGAGCGGAUGAAGGGAGCUUGCUCCUGGAUUCAGCGGCGGACGGGUGAGUAAUGCCUAGGAAUCUGCCUGGUUGUGGGGGAUAACGUCCGGAAACGGGGGCUAAUACCGCAUAAGUCCUGAGGGAGAAAGUGGGGGAUCUUCGGACCUCACGCUAUCAGAUGAGCCUAGGUCGGAUUAGCUAGUUGGUGGGGUAAAGGCCUACCAAGGCGACGAUCCGUAGCUGGUCUGAGAGGAUGAUCAGUCACACUGGAACUGAGACACGGUCCAGACUCCUACGGGAGGCAGCAGUGGGGAAUAUUGGACAAUGGGCGAAAGCCUGAUCCAGCCAGGCCGCGUGUGUGAAGAAGGUCUUCGGAUUGUAAAGCACUUUAAGUGGGGAGGAAGGGCAGUAAGUUAAUACCUUGCUGUUUUGACGUUACCAACAGAAUAAGCACCGGCUAACUUCGUG